CAGAAAAUAGUUUAAUUAAAAUAUUAAUUUUGGAGAUUAAUGAUAAGAAAGUUCUUUUUUCUGA
rnacentral:tRNA from 1 species